GACGAACGCUGGCGGCGUGCUUAACACAUGCAAGUCGAACGGAAAGGCCCUGCUUUUGUGGGGUGCUCGAGUGGCGAACGGGUGAGUAACACGUGAGUAACCUGCCCCUGACUUUGGGAUAACUUCAGGAAGCUGGGGCUAAUACCGGAUAGGAGCUCCUGCUGCAUGGUGGGGGUUGGAAAGUUUCGGCGGUUGGGGAUGGACUCGCGGCUUAUCAGCUUGUUGGUGGGGUAGUGGCUUACCAAGGCUUUGACGGGUAGCCGGCCUGAGAGGGUGACCGGCCACAUUGGGACUGAGAUACGGCCCAGACUCCUACGGGAGGCAGCAGUGGGGAAUAUUGCACAAUGGGCGGAAGCCUGAUGCAGCAACGCCGCGUGCGGGAUGACGGCCUUCGGGUUGUAAACCGCUUUCGCCUGUGACGAAGCGUGAGUGACGGUAAUGGGUAAAGAAGCACCGGCUAACUACGUG
rnacentral:rRNA from 1 species